rnacentral:rRNA from 1 species
AGUGAACGCUGGCGGUAGGCCUAACACAUGCAAGUCGAACGGCAGCACCGUAAGAGCUUGCUCUUACGGGUGGCGAGUGGGGGACGGGUGAGGAAUACAUCGGAAUCUACUUUUUCGUGGGGGAUAACGUAGGGAAACUUACGCUAAUACCGGAUAUGUCCUAUGGGUGAAAGCACGGGUUCUUCGGACCUUGCGGUAGUGAAUGAGCCGAUGUCGGAUUAGCUAGUUGGCGGGGUCAAGGCGAAACAAGGCGACGAUCGGAAUCAGGUCCGAGGGCAUGUACAGCCACACUGGAACUGAGAAACGGCCCCGACUCCGACGGGAGGACGCGGUGGGGAAUAUUGGACAAGGGGGGAAAGCCUGAUCCAGCCAUACCGCGUAGGUGAAGAAGGACUUCGGGUUGUAAAGCGAUGUAGUUGGGAAAGAAAAGCAGCAGGUUAAUACCCCACUGUUCUGACAGUACCCAAAGAAUAAGCACCGGCUAACUUCGUG